UGGUGGUAUUCACGAUACGCGACGCGAGACAAGACAUAACACUUAUAGUUAUAUGUCUUGUCUCGCGUCGCGUAUCGUGAAUGUCGUGUUG
rnacentral:pre_miRNA from 1 species